rnacentral:rRNA from 1 species
GAUGAACGCUAGCGGCAGGCUUAAUACAUGCAAGUCGAGGGGCAGCAGGACUGUAGCAAUACAGUUGCUGGCGACCGGCAGACGGGUGCGGAACACGUACGCAACCUUCCUUUAAGUGGGGAAUAGCCCAGGGAAACUUGGAUUAAUACCUCGUAACAUUAUGAGAUGGCAUCAUUUUAUAAUUAUAGCUCCGGCGCUUAAAGAUGGGCGUGCGACUGAUUAGGUAGUUGGCGGGGUAACGGCCCACCAAGCCUUCGAUCAGUAACUGGUGUGAGAGCACGACAAGUCACAAGGGCACUGAGACAAGGGCCCGACUCCUACGGGAGGCAGCAGUAAGGAAUAUUGGUCAAUUGACGCAAGUCUGAACCAGCCAUGCCGCGUGGAGGAUGAAGGUCCUCUGGAUUGUAAACUUCUUUUAUCUGGGAAGAAACCCAUAUUUUCUAGUGUGGUUGACGGUACCAGAUGAAUAAGCACCGGCUAACUCCGUGCCAGCAGCCGCCGUAACAC